UUUUUCAGUAAACAAAAAUAUUAUAAUAUAUCAUGCAUUUUAAGUUUUAAGGUUAAUGGUAUUUUAAUAAUUUUCAUUCUCAAAACUAAAAAAAAAAACCCACCUUGCUCACCUCCGUCAUUCCUCUCAACCCUUUAUCUUUGAUCUCUCUCACUCCAACAUUUUCUCUAUCAUUCCUACACUAGUCCCAACUGAAAAAACACUCGCAGUUAAACAAUUUGUUUUUGUAAAGAGUUGAGUCAUUGACCUAUUCGCCUUGAGGAAAAAGUUCAUUUCAGAUCUCUUCAAUUUCAUCAUUUUCACUAACCUCUCUGAUUUCUUCCUCACUUAUCUAAUUUGUUUUUCUCUUAUCUCCAUACUCUCUGUCACCCACACACAACAACCC
rnacentral:lncRNA from 1 species